UUUGAUUAAAAUAGGGGCAGAAAGUUCCGGUUGGUUCGAGGAAACCCUCCGUAUGGGACAAGCAAGCACCAGACAAGUACGAUCGUAAGUCUUCAGGACCCUUCUGGAAAAUGGGACCUUCUUUUGAAAAUGAGUAGCAAAAUAUAGCAUAUGUGACCCCAAAGGAAUACAAGUUAGUCUCAAAGUUUGCAUGUUUAAGAUGUGAUUCAAUCAGGAGUUUCAGGGCCGUCCUUAAUAAUGUGACUUAGCUUUAGGAUUUUCAUUAGAUAACAAUAUUUAGUGUAAGUUCUGUUGUAGGAUAGUAUAAUUCAGCCGUAAGGAAUCGUCAUUCUUAGGAUGAAAUUUGACUUUAAACUGUCAAGAAAAUAAAGGUAUAACUUUGGUAGAAAAUAAAAAGCAUAAUUAUAUGAUCAUUUGCAAAAAUUUACCUAUUUUUUUAUAUACCUUUAAGAAAGAAGGAAUAUAUAUGCGAAUCCAAAACUUUUAAGCAAUGAGUACUCCAAUACCAUUAGCUUUGGUUGCCGCAUAUUGUAAGUGUAUCACUAUUGAAACUUGCAAUAAAAAGUUUAACACAAACAUAUUAUAUGAUUAUUAGAAUACUUAUUUUGGACAAUAAAAUUGUUUCAUCGAUCUUCACACAUGCAACAUUCUUAAGUAAUAGUAACAGAUAAAAGAAAGAAAAAUGAGCGAAUUUAAUUAGAAGAAAAAGGGGGGCGAGGGGGAAAUAACAAGAAAUAUUGAGAAACAAGGGCAAUCACACAAAGCGCCUACGCCUCAUACAACUCUCAAUCCCGCGAACAAACAAAAUCAAGUGCCUAUAAUGUAGUAUCUAAAUCGUAGCACCUAGCUUACCUUUUAAUUCGUUGGAAAUCAUUCCUUUUUAUGUCAUUUUCACUGAAUCUUAGCAAAAGACAAUGGGUGCUUAAGAGCCAACACUACUAAACGUGAAUCCGCCCUCACUAAUACGAAGAGAAUAUGGACGUUGGCUCCCAGUCAUUUUCAACAUACAUGAAGAGUAGAAUGGUACAACUGCACUAACACGGAACCACAAUUUAUUACAGAUUUACUAAGGUAGAUAGGCAAAAUAGCUAUUACACAUAAGUUUUAUCAUCCAUAGGUUUAACUUUUUUUUCCCUUCAAUUAAAGCCUAGUCUUUCACCUCCUGUGGGGUAUGGAGGUAAAGGGUGAAUUUGGGGUUUGGCAUGAACCCUACCUUGUUUAUUAAUAGCAAGAAAACUUAAUUAGCUCAGUUGGGGCGGAGGAUAUUAAGGAGAGAUUCAGCCAAGGAUGGGCAGCAUCUCUUGAUGCAGCAAUCUUCAUAGAGAGGCCUAACAUUGCAGAAAGAGCAGCUGUUGAAGCAAAACUCUGAGCAAGACUCUGCAUUUCCUGUGUAGAAAUAGACUGCCAUGAGUACUAUUAUCAUCCAAAUUACAACUAAAACAUUGUUAUUUUUCUUCACCAUGGCUCUCCCUCUCUCUCUCCCUCCCUCUAUACUUCUCUAUGUUUUACUUUGUUUUUGAAGGAUAUAUAUAGUACUUCUCAAUCUUGGGAUAUUACUAGAGAAAAAAAAACUAUUGUACUUCUUGGAAGAUCUAUAGAUGGAGCAAACGUAACCUAUUCCAAUUAAGAUUUUAAAUCCCAACUCAUUGUACAUUUAAAUAUGAGAUAAAAUUUCAAUUUUAGUGGUUAUACAUAACGUAUAUGUAUUUG
rnacentral:lncRNA from 1 species